UACAGAGGGGGCAAGCGUUGUUCGGAAUUACUGGGCGUAAAGGGCGCGUAGGCGGCCCUCUAAGUCAUGCGUGAAAUCCCCGGGCUCAACCCGGGAACUGCGUCUGAUACUGGAGGGCUUGAAUCCGGGAGAGGGAUGUGGAAUUCCAGGUGUAGCGGUGAAAUGCGUAGAUAUCUGGAGGAACACCGGUGGCGAAGGCGGCAUCCUGGACCGGCAUUGACGCUGAGGCGCGAAAGCCAGGGGAGCAAACGGG
rnacentral:rRNA from 1 species